GCCACAAAAAGUGGUACCACCUCCAAGUUCUUGCGCCUCCCUGGUUCCCAAACCCCCACCCAACCACGAACAAGUGCUCAGAAGGGCAACAUCCCAGAAAGCUUCCAAAGGGUCCUCCGCGGAAGGGCAGCUGAAUGGACUCCAGAGCAGCCUUAACCCUGCAGCCUUUGUGCCCAUCACCAGCUCUACAGGAUCUUUGGAUACUCCCCAAGUUAUUUUCGCCACAUCCAAACCCUUGCCCACACAAUCUGAAGCCCUUGCUACAGUUAUAGGACAGAGAAAAUCAAAGUCGGUGAAGUCAGGGCCAAUUUAAGAUCCUGCUCACACUAAAAUAUGAACCACAAACACACAGAGAAACAACCUGUUCACCACUCCUGGGUGCAUGAUUGAGGGUGAAGCAUCCACCAGCACUUCAAGGGGUCCAUAGUAUUUUUUUUUUUGCUGCCUCAAAGUCCCCAAAGCCUUCGAGCAGAAGUGGCAGUAGAUGGUUGCCAAUCAGCCAAUGCAGACUUUCACUGGGACAACAAGAAAGCAGAUCUUCUGGGUUUUGAUGGAACUUGGCAGUGGGGACAUUCAGCUGAUGCAUUAUAUACCCCGUCAGAGCACACUUGUAUCUUUUACCUUCCCUUUGCCCCAUGCCCCCAAACUGCUUAGGUCUUCUCUGUCCCUUUACUGCUGCUGCACAGAGAUGAUAUAAAAGAGGCUCUUUGGCUAUUUGC
rnacentral:lncRNA from 1 species